rnacentral:lncRNA from 1 species
UAAAAAAAUUAGUUCUCUAGUUGCAAAGGGUGGAACACUCUUGGAGGCAACUGCAGCUCUUUUGAAAGUUUUAAUUGCGUCUUUCAAUAAUCCUUCCCCCAGGAAAAAUGCCUUUUAAAAUAAAUCAGGUAGGAGGAAGCUUAUAAAAAUCCUGCUAGUUUGAUGAAUGGCAGACUUUUAACUCUAAAAGCAUAAAUGACUGCUCGGGGUUAUUGCCUCCUAGAGUUAUGAUGAGGAUAAAAUGUGGGUAAUUCAGGUAACAAGCUUACCACAUUGCCUGGCAACUAGUAAAUGCUCUACAAAUGUGAUCCAUUAUUACAAUCAUCAUUCUUAGCAUUAUGCUUUUAAAGUCUAGGAACCUGAAAUAGAGAAUGAGGAAGUCUUAACUUUGACCUAACAAGGCUGGGAGGGGGCAUCCAGGGAG